GAGACUGCCUGGGUUAACCAGGAGGAAGGUGGGGAUGACGUCAAAUCAUCAUGCCCCUUAUGUGUAGGGCUACACACGUGCUACAAUGGCUGGUACAGAGAGAUGCAAUACCGCGAGGUGGAGCCAAACUUAAAAACCAGUCUCAGUUCGGAUUGUAGGCUGAAACUCGCCUACAUGAAGCUGGAGUUACUAGUAAUCGCGAAUCAGAAUGUCGCGGUGAAUACGUUCCCGGGUCUUGUACACACCGCCCGUCACACCAUGAGAGUUGGCAAUACCCGAAGUCCGUGAGCUAACCGCAAGGAGGCAGCGGCCGAAGGUAGGGUCAGCGAUUGGGGUGAAGUCGUAACAAGGUAGCCGUAGGAGAACCUGCGGCUGGAUCACCUCCUUUCUAAGGAA
rnacentral:rRNA from 1 species